GAUGAAGAACGCAGCGAAAUGCGAUAAGUAAUGUGAAUUGCAGAAUUCAGUGAAUCAUCGAACCUUUGAACGCACAUUGCGCCCUCUGGUAUUCCGGGGGGCAUGCCUGUUCGAGCGUCAUUAUAACCACUCAAGCUCUCGCUUGGUAUUGGGGUUCGCGGUUCCGCGGCCCCUAAAAUCAGUGGCGGUGCCUGUCGGCUCUACGCGUAGUAAUACUCCUCGCGAUUGAGUCCGGUAGGUAUACUUGCCAGCAACCCCCAAUUUUUACAGGUUGACCUCGGAUCAGGUAGGGAUACCCGCUGAACUUAAGCAUAUCAAUAAGCGGAGGA
rnacentral:misc_RNA from 1 species